UUUCCGUAGGUGAACCUGCGGAAGGAUCAUUAUUGUAUAACCUAAGUGAGAGGGCUGUCUCUAACCCUAUAGCUCGUGCACGCCCGAGGGCCCUCACACACAGCCAUCGCACCCCUAUGUGCACCACCGCGUGGAUCCCCAUGUUGCUUGUUCGUGUUGUGGCUUAACUGUUCAAACAAACUUUGUAUGCAGUGUAGGAUGUAUUUUUUAUUUUUAAGAUCACGCAAUCAAUACAACUUUCACCAACGUAUCUCUUGGCUCCCGCAUCGAUUAAGAACC
rnacentral:misc_RNA from 1 species